GGCUAACGCUGGCGGCGUGUCUUAGCCAUGCAAGUCGAGCGGACUUAUGGGGUAACUUAUAAGUCAGCGGCGGACGGCGGAGUAACACGUAGCUAACCUACCCUCUGGACGGGGAUAACCUACCGAAAGGUGGGCGUAAUACCCGAUGUAGUCAUCCUGUAUAGGGGUGAUGAAAGGUGGGCUUCUGUUUACAAGCUCAUGCUGGAGGAGGGGGCUGCGGCCUACCAGGUAGUUGGUAGGGUAAUAGCCUACCAAGGCGACGAUGGGUAGCCGACCUGAGAGGGUGACCGGCCACACUGGGACUGAGACACGGCCCAGACUCCUACGGGAGGCAGCAGUGGGGAAUAUUGCGCAAUGGGGGGAACCCUGACGCAGCAACGCCGCGUGAGUGAAGAAGGUCUUCGGAUCGUAAAACUCUGUCAUAGGGGAAGAAGGAGAUGACGGUACCCUAUGAGGAAGCCCCGGCUAACUACGUG
rnacentral:rRNA from 1 species